rnacentral:rRNA from 1 species
AACGAACGCUGGCGGCAGGCCUAACACAUGCAAGUCGAGCGAAGCCUUCGGGCUUAGCGGCGGACGGGUGAGUAACGCGUGGGAACAUGCCCUUUGGUACGGAAUAGCCCCGGGAAACUGGGAGUAAUACCGUAUGUGGUCGAGAGACGAAAGAUUUAUCGCCAAAGGAUCGGCCCGCGUUGGAUUAGGAAGUUGGUGGGGUAAUGGCCUACCAAGCCGACGAUACAUAGCUGGUUUGAGAGGAUGAUCAGCCACACUGGGACUGAGACACGGCCCAGACUCCUACGGGAGGCAGCAGUGGGGAAUCUUAGACAAUGGGGGAAACCCUGAUCUAGCCAUGCCGCGUGAUCGAUGAAGGCCUUAGGGUUGUAAAGAUCUUUCAGUGGGGGAGAUAAUGACUGUACCCACAGAAGAAGCCCCGGCUAACUCCGUGCCAGCCGCCGCGGUAAUAC